UAGCAAAGGCGCAAAUUGGACCUUUUCCCUCUCUCCUUGCCAAUUUCCAUUCUCCAACGGAAGCAGGGGCAUUUUCUGAAAAGGUGCAGAGCGCCCUCAAGCCAAGUGUCCCAAAAGGCUCUAUUCUGCUGCAGGACCAGCAAGGAAAGAAGGAAUGUCCCUUUAGAACAAGGUCCCAGGACUCAGGAUUCUGACUAUUCCCAUCUGAUUGAUCAGGGCCAGAGUGCUGCCAAACUCUCAGCGCCUCAGCGCAGGGCAGAGCCCAGUCCUUCCUGCUUUCGGUAACAGUCACACAGUGGGGACCCAUUAAGCCAUCAGCAGCUGGACUUGUCCUGAGCCCGUGUGACAGGGGUAACAGCAGGGUCCCCUGUUCAAAUUGAAACAGAAGCAGUAGAAACUUAAUGUCAAAUAAA